CCGAUGAGGUGGAAACGGACAGAGCUGGCGUAUCUGGCCUGCAUUCAGCCGCCGCGCGUCGGGCCCCGGUUUGCCGCACUCCAGAUUGGGAAGGUGGCUGGGCUGCUGGCGUGUCGGUGGUGCAUUUGCAGGUGGAGUGCGCCGAGGCGCUCGGCUCAGCGGCAUGAGCUCGGCUUUGAGGCCAACCGCGCAAGCGGUCUGGUACCCGGGUCGGGGGAGUGUUGUUUGGGCUGAGUGUUCGCUUGGGCACUGGUUUCGGGCCCGGGUGGGUGCCGAGCUGGCGGUGGACGGCGGUCGCGUGCGACACGUGUCUUCAGUCAGUUCGGUCCUGCUCGAGCUCUCGCGUGUCCGGCCUCGGUGUAAAAGCCGGUCAUCUGUCCGACCCGUCUUGAAACACGGACCAAGGAGUUUAGCGUGUGCGCGAGUCAUUGGGCGUUGAAAACCCAAAGGCGCAAUGAAAGUGAAGGUCUGCCUUGUGCAGCUGAUGUGUGAUCCUGGGCGCUGCGGUGCCCGGGCGCAACAUAGUCCCGUCCCGACUGCAUGCAGUGGGGCGGAGACAGAGCGUACGCGCUGAG
rnacentral:rRNA from 2 species